CAAAGUAGAACUUGAGUUAUAUUUUCUCAUUUUUUUAAGAUCUUAAAAGAUGAAUCAAUCACAUGAUACAAGCCAUCAAGCUAGCCAAGCCAUGGGACAAGCUCAAGAGAAGGGAAGCAAUAUUAUAGACAAGGCAAGCAAUGCAACUCAAUCUGUAAAUGAGUCUUGUCAAGAGGCUGGUCAGCAAAUGAAGGCAAAGGCACAAGAUGUUGCAGAUGCUGCUAAGAGUACAGUUGGUGCUCACAAAUAAAUCUACCAAAUGAAGAGCUCUAUUCAAUAACUAUUUGCAACUUUUAAUUUUCUUGAGGGAUUUUAUGGUUUUGAUUUCUUUAGUAUAUAUUUUUUUAACUUUUUCUGAUGGAUUUAUAUGGGUGUUUAAAAUCGAACCGGCCCAAUAGAAAAUCGUUAACUAAAUCAAAUCAAAUUGAAAACCGCAAAAACUGCAUUUGAUUUGAAUUAGUUCGGGUCAUUUUCUAAUAAAUCACAUGAUUUGGUUCAGUUUGCGAUUUGUAUUUUGUAAACCGAAUCAAACCAAAUCAAACUGCAUUAUGUUACAAA